rnacentral:rRNA from 1 species
UACGUAGGGGGCGAGCGUUGUCCGGAAUCAUUGGGCGUAAAGCGCGCGCAGGCGGCCUCUUAAGUCUGGUGUGAAAGCCCACGGCUCAACCGUGGAGGGCCAUUGGAAACUGGGAGGCUUGAGUGCAGGAGAGGAGAGUGGAAUUCCUGGUGUAGCGGUGAAAUGCGUAGAGAUCAGGAGGAACACCGAUGGCGAAGGCAGCUCUCUGGCCUGUAACUGACGCUGAGGCGCGAAAGCGUGGGGAGCAAACAGG